rnacentral:rRNA from 1 species
CCCUUAGAUGUUCUGGGCCGCACGCGUGCUACACUGAUGCAUUCAACGAGUCUAAAACCUGGUCUGAUAGGGCUGGGUAAUCUUUUGAAGGUGCAUCGUGAUUGGGAUAGAUGAUUGCAAUUCUUCAUCUUCAACGAGGAAUGCCUAGUAAACGCAAGUCAUCAGCUUGCAUUGAUUACGUCCCUGCCCUUUGUACACACCGCCCGUCGCUCCUACCGAUUGAAUGAUCCGAUGAAUACCAUGGAUUGAGAGUACGAAUAGGUUCGCUUAUUUCUGCUGCUCGAGAAGUGGAGUAAAUCUUAUCAUUUAGAGGAAGGAGAAGUCGUAACA